rnacentral:rRNA from 1 species
CCUACGGGAGGCAGCAGUGGGGGAUAUUGCACAAUGGGGGGAACCCUGAUGCAGCGACGCCGCGUGAAGGAAGAAGGCUUUCGGGUUGUAAACUUCUUUUAAGGGGGAAGAGCAGAAGACGGUACCCCUUGAAUAAGCCACGGCUAACUACGUGCCAGCAGCCGCGGUAAUACGUAGGUGGCAAGCGUUGUCCGGAUUUACUGGGUGUAAAGGGCGUGCAGCCGGGACUGCAAGUCAGAUGUGAAAUCCGCGGGCUUAACCCGCGAACUGCAUUUGAAACUGCGGAUCUUGAGUACCGGAGAGGU